CAACUGACCAAUAAUGACACAACCAACUGGAAGUAAGCUAUGUUAGAAGAUUUUCAGAUCCAGAAUAUUCAAAAUUACUUGAAAACUCACCAGAGAUAAGUAGCAAGAGCAGCUUGGUCCUGAGUCAUCUUUGGGGAAGGAUUAAAACAAAACAAAUCUCUUACUAAAGGAUAAACAUUGUUCUCAUGGAAACCAGCAGAAAAGAUAAUGUCAAGUUACAUGACAUUCUGUCACAAAGAGUAUUGGACUGAGCUGGAGUAACAGAGAAGUGUGGCCUUGGCAGCAGCAAUGAAGAGAAGAAAGGGUCCAAGUGAUGAGGAAGGAGGAAGAGGAGAAGGAUGAGGAAGAAGAAAAGGAGGAAGA